rnacentral:rRNA from 1 species
CGAUUUAGCCAUGCUAGUUGCGCGAGUUCAGACUCGCAGCAGAUAGCUCAGUAACACGUGGUCAAGCUACCCUGCAGACACGGACAACCUCGGGAAACUGAGGCUAAUCCGCGAUACCGAUCCCACGCUGGAAUGCCGGGAUCCACAAACGCUCCGGCGCUGCAGGAUGCGGCUGCGGCCGAUUAGGUAGACGGUGGGGUAACGGCCCACCGUGCCGAUAAUCGGUACGGGUUGUGAGAGCAAGAGCCCGGAGACGGAAUCUGAGACAAGAUUCCGGGCCCUACGGGGCGCAGCAGGCGCGAAACCUUUACACUGCACGCAAGUGCGAUAAGGGGACUCCGAGUGCGAGGGCAUAUAGUCCUCGCUUUUGAGAACCGUAAGGUGGUUCUCGAAUAAGAGCUGGGCAAGACCGGUGCCAGCCGCCGCGGUAAUACCGGCAGCUCAAGUGAUGGCCAAUCUUAUUGGGCCUAAAGCGUCCGUAGCUGGCCGUGAAAGUUCGUCGGGAAAUCCAUCCGCUCAACGGAUGGGCGUCCGGCGAAAACUUCACGGCUUGGGACCGGAAGGCUCGAGGGGUACGUCCGGGGUAGGAGUGAAAUCCUGUAAUCCUGGACGGACCGCCGAUGGCGAAAGCACCUCGAGAAGACGGAUCCGACAGUGAGGGACGAAAGCUAGGGUCUCGAACCGGAUUAGAUACCCGGGUAGUCCUAGCCGUAAACGAUGUUCACUAGGUGUGGCACAGGCUACGAGCCUGUGCUGUGCCGUAGGGAAGCCGAGAAGUGAACCGCCUGGGAAGUACGUCCGCAAGGAUGAAACUUAAAGGAAUUGGCGGGGGAGCACUACAACCGGAGGAGCCUGCGGUUUAAUUGGACUCAACGCCGGACAUCUCACCAGCUCCGACUACAGUAAUGACGGUCAGGUUGAUGACCUUACCACGAGCUGUAGAGAGGAGGUGCAUGGCCGCCGUCAGCUCGUACCGUGAGGCGUCCUGUUAAGUCAGGCAACGAGCGAGACCC